CGCGUAUACAAUCUACCUUUUACAGGAGGAUAGCCUUUAGAAAUGAAGAUUAAUACUCCAUAGUAUAAUGAUAUGGCAUCAUAUAAUUAUUAAAGCUUCGGUGGUAAAAGAUGAGUAUGCGUUCUAUUAGCUAGAUGGUGUGGUAACGGCAUACCAUGGCAACGAUAGAUAGGGGCCCUGAGAGGGGGAUCCCCCACACUGGUACUGAGACACGGACCAGACUCCUACGGGAGGCAGCAGUGAGGAAUAUUGGACAAUGGAGGCAACUCUGAUCCAGCCAUGCCGCGUGCAGGAAGACUG
rnacentral:rRNA from 1 species